UGUAGAAGGUGUUCUUAGGAUCAGUCCCAC
rnacentral:piRNA from 1 species